rnacentral:sRNA from 1 species
AGUUUCUUACUUAUUCUUUGAGAUUUAUAUAAAUUGUACAUAGAAUUCGCCGUUGUCUGUGUUGUAUGCCUUUGUUAUAACAGACCACUUGAUGAGAUAUUGGCUGAUAUCUAUGUGAUUAUCCAACAGAAGCAUGCUGUGUUUUUUUAUUUUGAGGCAGUGAUAUUACUGGAUUAGCAUAGAAGCAAAUUUUGGAACAGAUAAAAUCAUGUUUAUGAGAAUUUGAUUAUUACAAUUGUAUGAAUGUAAAUGGAAUAAAAUGUUUACACGC